rnacentral:rRNA from 1 species
UACGAAGGGGGCGAGCGUUGUUCGGAUUUACUGGGCGUAAAGGGCGCGCAGGCGGCGCAUUUUGUCAGGCGUGAAAGCCCCGGGCUUAACCUGGGAACUGCGUUUGAUACGGAUGGGCUAGAGUUCGGGAGAGGAGAGUGGAAUUCCCAGUGUAGAGGUGAAAUUCGUAGAUAUUGGGAAGAACACCGGUGGCGAAGGCGGCGACCUGGACGGACAUUGACGCUGAGACGCGAAAGCGUGGGGAGCAAACAGG